ensembl:snoRNA SNORA63 Small nucleolar RNA SNORA63
AUGCAGGAUAAGUUACAGUGCAGCUUGUUCAGUUCUGCUCUGUCGUUCCCCCUGCACACAUCAACUAGUUUCCUACUAUCCCUGUCUGUCUUCAUCCCACGGCUGACAGGGACGCUUGGUCUCUAACAU